GACUAAUAAGAAUGAAGUCAUAACACUGCCACAAAUAUCAAAUAAUGCUAAGUUUAUGACUAACUAUAAAACUGACAUUAUUCUACAAGUUUUAGAUCAACUUCAUGUGAUGUGCACGGCACACCACUGUGCUCUUUUUAAGUGGAAAAGGUAACAUUCUACGUAUCAAUGGGAAGAUACCUAUUGAUUUUUAUGACUAUCAGAAAACUGGAAAAAGCCUGAUGUCUACAGUGUCCAUUUGGGGCUGCAAGCAGAAAGCAUUAGGAGGUCAGAGGAGCCAGUAGGCCUGUGAUCUACUCUGACCCUUUGAACUCUGGCGAUUCUUUCUGCCAUGGAAGGAGAUACAUUAAUGAAAAUCAGCUCUACAAGUAUUUUUGAAUGAGAAUCUGGACAAGUGAAACACCUCUAUGAAUCAGACUGCUUUUCUGAUAAGCUACACACAACUGUCUUUAUGGGGAAAGGAGAACUACAGGUGGCAUGAGGCUUGGAACCGGACAGAAAAACUCCCCCCACCCAAAGCCCUUUGGGAAGGGAGAAGGGAAGAAGUAUCAAAAGCUCAGUUGUAUAAAGAUCAAGUUGUCAGGCAGCACUUUUGUCCAUAGCCUGGGCUUCCCUAAGGUAGCUGAAUGUUCUCCACAGCAGGCAGAGAAUUUAUUGAAACAUGGCAACCUGCUUGGAUGGCAAACAAUACAUGUUGAAAAAAAGUUAGCAGGCGAACAAAGUCAAACUCAGAAGCAAGGGCAGCCUUAGAGAAUCACAAGAUAUUUGUGAAAUUAUUUGCUGAAACAGGAGAAUUAUAUAUGAAAAAAGUUAAUUGAUAUUGCAUGAUUCAUGCAAUUGGUUACAAAACUGAGUUCAUCCCAAAACCCCUGAAUAUAUUCUUCUCUUGAAGGGAACUAAUAAAAUAUUUAACGUGAAAAUAGACUGCUGAUUCAGUUAGAAGAAAACUAACUGUAGGAUUUAUUGAAGAGAGGUAUACCAAGGCACAAGUCAAGCUGCAGCAAGAGGCAAUGCCACACAAGGGAUCAGAGUAUAGGUCCCAUGUCUGUCCUAGGCUUCCAGGCUGGCAGCAUUUCCUGAAGGAAUGUCUCAUUGCCCCCCUUCAGGUCAAUCUGAGGAACAGCAUUAGAGCAAGACAAAAACAUUUCCAAGCCCUCACUGACUAGAAGGUUCAUCAUCACAACUGGGAGAACAGGCAGGAAGUUUCCUGAAGAGUUCCCUUUUCCCCAUACAUUCCCUUGGAACUGACUUAA